UUGUAUCAGAAUCUGAUACGUCAACAACUCGUGCGUAAAUAUCGUACGCGCGCACUUUCCACGAAGUAAUCUAUUUUCGUUUUUUCUUGUUUAGGAGGACGAUCCGUUACCAGGCUGGACAACGUCCGGCCAAAGGAUUCAUCAAUGUUCUGACCCCGGAGACGAACACAGCCCAAUAGUGGGUGUUGCUUGCCCACUAUCCUACGACGGAGAUCGUCAGGAGCCUGACGUAGAUGCAGCAAUCAUAAUAUUUAUAAUAAUGUAUCUUAUAUUCAAGAUGUAAAUAAAUUUGCUUUCACUUCUGA